rnacentral:lncRNA from 10 species
AAAUGUGACUAUCUAUGAACUGAGAGUUGGGAGCUUGAAUCUAAGAGUCAACUAUGGGCCUUGGUUUCCUCACCAGGGGUUGACAUUUCUCAGUGGGGCCACGCGAUUCUUCACUGCAUGGGACAGAUCCAGGACUGCAAAACAACAGCACCUCAGUCAUUGUCACAACCAGCGUGUCGCCCCAUUCCACAUGCCCCUUGGGGCACCAGCUUAAGUCAGCUGAGUAGAAAAUAACAGGUUUCAACACAAACAUCUGUACAGACCUCACUCUGGAGAAAUUACUUUGCGUGGAACCCAGGAAAUUAGUUGGAAGAAUUUGUUCACUGUCUCUUUCAAGUUUUAACAGCUUUACUUAAGAACUCAACUAGCAGAUGAUUUCUUUCCAUUGCUUUCUAAAUCAAUCACAAAUGUCUCUUUGAGAAAAGACCAAUGAAAAUUAAGUAGUAGUAAGAAGAGACACACCAGUGAUUGCAAAGUGGAGAGGCUGGCUUCCCUCUGUUAUGGACUGGAUUCUGUACCCCCAAAUUCAUAGGUAAACCCUAACUCUCAAUGUGAUGGUAUUUGGAGAUAGGGCCUUGAAGGAGAUAAUUGAGGUGAAAGGAAAUCAUAAAGGUGGAGCCCUGAGCCAAUAUGACUAGUGUGCUCAUGAGAAGAGGAAGAGACACCAGGGAUGCGCACACCCAGAGAAAAGGCCAUGGGAGGACACAGCAAAAAGGUGGCCAUCUGCAAGCCAAGGAGAGAGGCCUCAGGAGAAAUCAAACCUGCCGACCCCUUGAUCUUGGACUUCCAGCCACCAGAACUGUGAGAAAAUAAAUGUCUGUAGUUUAAAACCACACGAUCUGUGCUAUUUUGUUAUGACAGCCCUAGCAGACUAAUAUAGCCUCCAAGUUAAGAGCCAAACUUCCUGUGAGUGCCCUGUCAUUGACCAAGUGGCUUCUAGAACCACUUCAGCCCAUGACUCCUCCACCAGACAUUGUCAGUGCGAAGAGAGUUUUAGGGCCACAGCCAUGAAGAGCUUGAAUGAAACCAGCAGAGCGUUGCAGGGCAGCCUCUGUUUGACCUUCCACUCGGGAAGGAUUAAUGGCCAGCCCUUUGUGUUAGGAGAGGAUGCUCUGGCCACAUGCAGCCAGACAUGGGGGAGUGUUGUUUCCCAGUUCCAGUGAUAGGUUGGCCUACGCUGGUCUCAUGCUCACACUUGGUUCUCCUAGGUCACAAGUUAGCAGGAAGUAAGCAGGGGGUCAGGGUAGGGCUAUUAUUGUUGGCUGAAGCAUAGACUAGAGCAAUUGAUCUGUACAGUAUUGGACCCACAUCUAACUCUGGGGCCCCAGUUGUCUUGGCUUUUUCCAGCUUUGAUUUCACUGCCUCUCUGAGAGUCAGUUUUUCCUACUAAUGGAAUGUUUUCAAAGUGAGCUCAAGCCCAUGCUCAGUGGGAAAUUCUUCCCUGAAAUCAUUUGUCACAGAAUCAUUUGGCCAUCUAAGACGUUUAUUAUCCUACUUACUGGCAGUAAGUUUCAUAGAAGAGCACAAGAUACUCUGUAGAUUUUUGUUCCCCUUAAAAAGCUGAUAUUCUAGAAUCUGUCCAACAU